UACGGAGGGAACAAGUGUUAUUCGGAUUAAUGGGUGUAAAACGCGGGUAGAUGGCUUUAUUUGCUUAUUAUAAAAGUUCUUUAGCGAAGGAGUUAAAGGGUAUAAUAAGGACGGUGAGGCUUGAGUAUUAAUAAUACAACAGUAUUUUAAGUGUAAAGUGAAAAUUUCAAAUAUUUAAAAGACUAGCACUUGGCGAAAGCGGUGUUAAGUAAUAUACUGACAUUGAGACGCUAAAGCUUAGUAGCAAAUAGGAUUAGAGACCCUAGUAGUCUAGGCUUCACCGAUGAAUGUUAAUUAUAUAAUUAAUUAUGUAGUAAGUUAACGCGUAAACAUUCUACCUGAGUACUACGGCCGCAAGGUGAAACUCAAAGAAAUUGGCGGAAAACCAUACCAGCGGUGGAUAUGUGGUUUAAUUUGAGAAUACGCACAAAACCUACCAACUAAUGUAUGUUACGUUAAUUUUUUUACCCGUGGUCUUUUGACUUUUUAAAUUGUUUAACAAUUAAGCUUAUACAGGUGCUGCAUGGCUGUCUUAAGUCGUGUUGUGAAAUGUUGGAUUAAUUCAUCAACGGGCGCAACCCACUCUAUAAGUUAUUUUGGAUAAGAUUUAUUUGAAAACUUAAGGUAAUGUUUUUAAGGAGAACAUGACAGUGGUAACGUCAAGUCAAUAUGGCCUCUAUAAGUUGGGCUACACACGUAAUACAAAGGCAUUGACAAUAGAUGCAAUAAUGUGAAUUAAAGCUAAUCUAUAAAAUAUGUCUAAGUUCAGAUAUUCUCUGUAAUUCGAGAAUAUGAAGGAGGAUCGCUAGUAAUCGUACAUUAGAACGGUACGGUGAAUUUUCCUUGGUUU
rnacentral:rRNA from 1 species